AGGCCAUGAUGGGGGCACUACCUCAGCAUACUCUUGAAUCUAUCUCAUGCUUCGAAUAAUGAUUCUGAGUCUGCCUGUUAGAAGCUUGCAAUUAAAUUCCUAAUGUGU